UACGGGGGGGGCAAGCGUUGUUCGGAAUUACUGGGCGUAAAGGGCUCGUAGGCGGCCAACUAAGUCGGAUGUGAAAUCCCCAGGCUUAACCUGGGAACUGCAUCCGAUACUGGAUGGCUUGAAUUCGGGAGAGGGAUGCAGAAUUCUUGGUGUAGCGGUGAAAUGCGUAGAUAUCAAGAGGAAUACCUGAGGUGAAGACGGGUUGCUAGGCCGACACUGACGCUGAGGCGCGAAAGCCAGGGGAGCAAACGGG
rnacentral:rRNA from 1 species